rnacentral:rRNA from 1 species
CCUACGGGUGGCAGCAGUGGGGAAUAUUGGACAAUGGGCGAAAGCCUGAUCCAGCCAUGCCGCGUGUGUGAAGAAGGCCUUCGGGUUGUAAAGCACUUUCAGUGGGGAAGAAAGCCUUGGGGCUAAUACCCUCGAGGAAGGACAUCACCCACAGAAGAAGCACCGGCUAACUCCGUGCCAGCAGCCGCGGUAAUACGGAGGGUGCGAGCGUUAAUCGGAAUUACUGGGCGUAAAGCGCGCGUAGGCGGUCUGAUAAGCCGGUUGUGAAAGCCCCGGGCUCAACCUGGGAACGGCAUCCGGAACUGUCAGGCUAGAGUGCAGGAGAGGAAGGUAGAAUUCCCGGGGUAGCGGUGAAAUGCGUAGAGAUCGGGAGGAAUACCAGUGGCGAAGGCGGCCUUCUGGACUGACACUGACGCUGAGGUGCGAAAGCGUGGGUAGCAAACAGGAUUAGAUACCCCUGUAGUC